AGUUACUAUACUAUAAAUACCUAUAAAAUUUGAAAGUCUAUUUCUUUUUAUCAAUUGGCCUAUCAGUGAUGGCAAUUGCAGUAGCAUUAUAAGCUACUAUUUUGAUUUUGCUCAAAAGAAAUUUUACUUCCUGUCUAUACAUAACUUUAGAAGUGUAUUACUGGCCCACCUUAUGUAUACUCUAACCCCAACAGGAUGAUGAUAACAUUGAUAGCUGUAGAAUAAAGAUGAAUAACCUGCUUUCUUUCUGCUAAUGUCAAACAUCAUUAAACAGAAGAAUACCUCAUCCAAGAAAUUGUUUAAGCAAGGGAAAGUCAUGUGUUAACAUGUUGAAUGGGUACAAAAGAGAGAAAUAAACGUUAGAAGCCCAAGAUUUUUUUUUUUUUUUUUU
rnacentral:misc_RNA from 1 species